AGUUUGAUCCUGGCUCAGGAUGAACGCUAGCGGCAGGCUUAACACAUGCAAGUCGAGGGGUAACAUUGUAGCUUGCUACAGAUGACGACCGGCGCACGGGUGCGUAACGCGUAUAGAACCUACCUUUUACUGGAGAAUAGCCUUUAGAAAUGAAGAUUAAUGCUCCAUAGUAUUGCGACUCGGCAUCGGGUUGUAAUUAAAGAUUUAUUGGUAAAAGAUGGCUAUGCGUCCUAUUAGUUAGAUGGUAAGGUAACGGCUUACCAUGACAUCGAUAGGUAGGGGUCCUGAGAGGGAGAUCCCCCACACUGGUACUGAGACACGGACCAGACUCCUACGGGAGGCAGCAGUGAGGAAUAUUGGGCAAUGGAGGCAACUCUGACCCAGCCAUGCCGCGUGCAGGAAGACGGCCCUAUGGGUUGUAAACUGCUUUUAUACAGGAAGAAACCACCCUACGUGUAGGGUGCUGACGGUACUGUAAGAAUAAGGACCGGCUAACUCCGUGCCAGCAGCCGCGGUAAUACGGAGGGUCCAAGCGUUAUCCGGAAUCAUUGGGUUUAAAGGGUCCGUAGGCGGACUAUUAAGUCAGAGGUGAAAUCCCACAGCUUAACUCUGGAACUGCCAGUGGUACUGCUGUUCUUGAAUACGGUUGAAGUAGGCGGAAUGUAGCAUGUAGCGGUGAAAUGCAUAGAGAUGCUACAGAACACCGAUCGCGAAGGCAGCUUACUAAGCCGAUAUUGACGCUCAGGCACGAAAGCGUGGGGAGCGAACAGGAUUAGAUACCCUGGUAGUCCACGCCGUAAACUAUGAUCACUCGUUGUUGGCAAUACACAGUCAGUGACCAAGCGAAAGCGAUAAGUGAUCCACCUGGGGAGUACGAUCGCAAGGUUGAAACUCAAAGGAAUUGACGGGGGCCCGCACAAGCGGUGGAGCAUGUGGUUUAAUUCGAUGAUACGCGAGGAACCUUACCUGGGCUCAAAUGUAAGUUGACAGGUCCUGAAAGGGAUUUUUCUUCGGACAAUUUACAAGGUGCUGCAUGGUUGUCGUCAGCUCGUGCCGUGAGGUGUCGGGUUAAGUCCCAUAACGAGCGCAACCCCUACUCUUAGUUGCCAGCAUGUAAUGAUGGGGACUCUAGGAGAACUGCCUACGCAAGUAGAGAGGAAGGUGGGGAUGACGUCAAAUCAGCACGGCCCUUACGUCCAGGGCUACACACGUGCUACAAUGGCCGGUACAGAGGGCAGCCACCACGCGAGUGGGAGCAAAUCUCCAAAGCCGGUCUCAGUUCGGAUCGAAGUCUGCAACCCGACUUCGUGAAGCUGGAAUCGCUAGUAAUCGCGCAUCAGCCAUGGCGCGGUGAAUACGUUCCCGGGCCUUGUACACACUGCCCGUCAAGCCAUGGAAGGUGGGAGUACCUGAAGUCGGUAACCGUUAAGGAGCCGCCUAGGGUAAAACUGGUGACUGGGGCUAAGUCGUAACAAGGUAACC
rnacentral:rRNA from 1 species